UUUCCGUUGGUGAACCUGCGGAAGGAUCAUUCCCAAUUACUGUAUCUUGGCACUUUUUAUACACUUCUUUACCACUUUGUGCGCGACGUCAUGUGACCCUCCAUCGCUACCUUCUAGGUCACGGUAGCGGGUAGCACCACACCAUACCAAUAUCUCCUCUAACCUAUUUGUUUGAACAUUUGUUAUCACGAAUUAUCUCAAUUCGAACAUACAACUACCAACAACGGCUCACUUGGCCCUCGCUUCGCUGAAGAACGCAGCAGACCGCACGAGCACCCG
rnacentral:misc_RNA from 1 species